UACGAAGGGGGCUAGCGUUGCUCGGAAUCACUGGGCGUAAAGCGCACGUAGGCGGCUUUCUAAGUCAGGGGUGAAAUCCUGGAGCUCAACUCCAGAACUGCCUUUGAUACUGGAGAGCUUGAGUCCGGGAGAGGUGAGUGGAACUCCGAGUGUAGAGGUGAAAUUCGUAGAUAUUCGGAAGAACACCAGUGGCGAAGGCGGCCCGCUGGACAUGUAUUGACGCUGAGGUGCGAAAGCGUGGGGAGCAAACAGGG
rnacentral:rRNA from 1 species